GCCGGUGUGGCUCAGCGGAUAGAGCGUCAGCCUGUGGACUGAAGGGUCCUGGGUUCGAUUCCAGUCAAGGGCA
rnacentral:tRNA from 1 species